GGGCAUCCAGUGAUAAUUUAUGCAUCAAACGGCACAUCAAAAAAGAAGAAAAUGCAUCAGGGUCAUAAAAUUGAAGCUCCAGGAGACAUCACGACCAACUGCACAACGUGAUAGAUCUCCAUGGGUUAUGGGCGCAACUUUCUUCCGGAUUGCAAGUCGUUCAGUGCUAAUUAUCCAGCGCCGGUGGCCAUGGGCAUCCAGUGAUAAUUAUGCAGUGUCGCUGGCAGGAGUCAACUCGGUUGGAUCGCAAGGCGUUCUCCUUCUCUGUAAUGAGACCGCCACUUCUUUGAUUGUUGCCUAUUUCCUUCUUCAAAUUUCAUCUUUGAACUUCUGCUUUUUGUUUUUCCGCUACAACCUAAAACAAAGGGAAAAAUUUGAACGUUUUUAGCACUGCCUUCUAUGAACUUUUAUAUGUUUUUGGCUCUGAAUUUUUGUAACUCCAUAAUGCAAAUUUAUAUGUUCCUUUUUACUCUGCUAGUGGGUUCAUUUAACUAUUGUUUUUAUUGUCCAAACAUACAUCUUGUGGAGUCAGAACUUAUAUAUUUUAUAUCAUUGAACUUCUAGAUAUUUCAAAUGAAUUCAGAACACAAGUUGGGGCAAAUAUAGUGGGAAAUCAUAGACCCAAAUUUCUCUUUUUUCUUGUUUGGUAAUAUCUUACUUUAACAUAGUCCAACCUUGCUGAGAUUACAUCAUUGCAUAUCCGAAAAAAUUACAGUACCAAACUUUUGAACAUUACAGAGAGCAAAAAUACCAACCUUUUUAAAACAUCUUGAACUACAGAAGCAAAGAUGCAAGAGAAUAGAGGAGGAGAAGAAGAUGGUGUGGUCGGUGGGGUGUACAACCUGCAGGGGAAGCGGCUGCGGGUGGUGGAGCUCGAGCUCCGUCGGCGUGGCCCUG
rnacentral:lncRNA from 1 species